rnacentral:lncRNA from 1 species
AGCUUCGGGGGAUUUAAAUGGGGGGGGGUUAUUGGGGGCUCUGAAUAUUGGGAGUUAAUUAGGGGUGCUAAUUAAUGCCUUGAUUUGUGACUGCUAAUGGGGGGGGGACACUCAUUUGGGGUAUUUAGUGAAGGACCGUUAAUGGGGCCGUAAUUAACAGCCAACAAUUAGGGGUGCUAAUGGCGAGUGUUAAUUGGGGGUAUUGAUUAGAAGCUGGUAAUGGGGGGCUCUCAUUUCAGAUAUCAUCGGGAGCCUGUUAAUUGGUUGUUAAUUGGGGGUGAUUAAUUUGGGGGUCAUUUUGGAGGCAUUUAAUUGGGGUAAUUGGAGGGUCUUCAUAGGGAGGAGUUAAUGGGUGUUAAUUAGGAGCCAUUAAUUGGGGGUCAUCUUUGAUGGCUGUCAAUUGUAGGGGGUGUCCAUAGGUGGUGGGUCGUUAACUGGGGGGGCUGUUAACUACGGAAUAUUGGGCAUUAAUUAAUGGAAAUUAAAUUUCAAUUAAUUCAAUUUGUUAAUUAAAUCUCUUUAAUUAAGACAUUAAUGGGGGGGCUCUUAAUUAGGGGUCUAAUUAAGGGGGGUGACAGGGUGUUAAUUAUGGGGGUCUUUAUUGUACUCUGCCAAUUGGGGGGGCGUGCGGAGGAGCAGAAGUAUUUUGGGGGCAAAUCGGGCGAUUUUGGUGUCUCCCCCCUUUCUUGCCCCCCAAUGACGUCAACACCAUGGCCCCGCCCCCCCCAGCCUCAUCAUGAAUGAGGCCACCGAGGCUGGGGACACGGGGGGGGGGGGACGGGGACCCAAGUGCCUGGGCACCCGGCCCUGGCAGUGUCUCCCUAACGAGCUCGUCAGGCUCAUUAGCGGCCCCACCCCCACUGUGGCCUAAUUACCACCCCCUGAGCAGCCCCAGGCAGACCGGGCCCAAACAAAACCACCAAAAAAAGCAGCUAUUUCCACCAAAAACCACAGGUUUAAUACGGAGGGGGGGGUUCCUCCCCAUCCACGCCCCCCAAACUUUCACCUCCCGUGGACCCAAAAUCCGUUCGAUUCCCCCCAGAAUGAAGGGGCGCGCCCUGCUGGGGUGGGAGGGGGAGGGCUCAGCGCAGAGGGGGUGUUAG